rnacentral:rRNA from 1 species
CUACGGGAGGCAGCAGUGGGGAAUUUUGCGCAAUGGGCGAAAGCCUGACGCAGCGACGCCGCGUGUGGGAUGACGGCCUUCGGGUUGUAAACCACUGUCGGGAGGGACGAAGCUCUGACGGUACCUCCAAAGGAAGCACCGGCUAACUCCGUGCCAGCAGCCGCGGUAAUACAGAGGGUGCGAGCGUUGUCCGGAAUCACUGGGCGUAAAGGGCGCGUAGGCGGCUUGGUAAGUAGGGGGUGAAAUUCCGUGGCUCAACCACGGAACUGCCUCCUAAACUGCUAGGCUCGAGCACGGUAGAGGCUGGUGGAAUUCCCGGUGUAGCGGUGGAAUGCGUAGAGAUCGGGAGGAACAUCGGUGGCGAAGGCGGCCAGCUGGGCCGUUGCUGACGCUGAUGCGCGAAAGCGUGGGGAGCAAACAGGAUUAGAAACCCUUGUAGUCC